GAUGAACGCUGGCGGCGUGCUUAACACAUGCAAGUCGAACGGUGAACACGGAGCUUGCUCUGUGGGAUCAGUGGCGAACGGGUGAGUAACACGUGAGCAACCUGCCCCUGACUCUGGGAUAAGCGCUGGAAACGGCGUCUAAUACUGGAUAUGUGACGUGACCGCAUGGUCUGCGUUUGGAAAGAUUUUUCGGUUGGGGAUGGGCUCGCGGCCUAUCAGCUUGUUGGUGAGGUAAUGGCUCACCAAGGCGUCGACGGGUAGCCGGCCUGAGAGGGUGACCGGCCACACUGGGAUUGAGACACGGCCCAGACUCCUACGGGAGGCAGCAGGGGGGAAUAUUGCACAAUGGGCGGAAGCCUGAUGCAGCAACGCCGCGUGAGGGAUGACGGCCUUCGGGUUGGAAACCUUUUUUAGCAGGGAAGAAGCGAAAGGGACGGUACCUGCAGAAAAAGCGCCGGCUAACUACGUG
rnacentral:rRNA from 1 species